GACCUCAAUCCGCCGCUUCCGUGUCAAAUAAGGGUUGAAGAGGAAUUCUUUUUCUAGCUCCAGGGUCUGAUACCGGCUUUCCAGGGUCUGAUACUUUGUAUAAGGACAUCUUUUCUUCCUCGUGGACCGUGCGUGAAUCCAAUUUGCGACGGGAUUGCCUGUGGAAGAAGAUUUAAAAAAAAUAGUCAAUUUCAACAGCUGACUCCCCCUCUCCUUACACCCAACUUAUUUUUUUGUCGAGAACUAACUUGUUGAAUUAGGAAAUAGCAGUCACUGCCUCCGAUUCCGGAGAGGGAAUAGUCUGCGGAGGUCGGUCUCUGAGAUCACCCGGGGAUCCGUA